CCUAAGCAUUAGUGGAGGACCUGGUCCAAGAAUGGAAAGCAUUUCCACAUUUAGCACCACGUGGGACAAAGGUGACUAAAGGAGAGUGAAGUAGAUGAUCCAUUGAACAGAAGGAAACCAGGUUGUCAAAGGAAGGGCGCUGGAAUCAACUACAGGAAGUGGAGUCCCAGGAGCCAGAAAAAGCAGCUCAGGGAGAUGGGAUUAAAGGAAGCCAGCUGGCUCGCUCAGUGACAUCCGAUCACUCUCUAAAGACGACUCUUCCCCAGGCUCAGCAUUUUCCUCAAGACAGGAGCCGUGAAUUCUCUU